rnacentral:rRNA from 1 species
GUGGGGAAUUUUGGACAAUGGGCGCAAGCCUGAUCCAGCAAUGCCGCGUGCAGGAAGAAGGCCUUCGGGUUGUAAACUGCUUUUGUACGGAACGAAACGGUCCGGGUUAAUACCCUGGGCUAAUGACGGUACCGUAAGAAUAAGCACCGGCUAACUACGUGCCAGCAGCCGCGGUAAUACGUAGGGUGCAAGCGUUAAUCGGAAUUACUGGGCGUAAAGCGUGCGCAGGCGGUUUUGUAAGACAGGCGUGAAAUCCCCGGGCUCAACCUGGGAAUUGCGCUUGCGACUGCAAGGCUGGAGUGCGGCAGAGGGGGAUGGAAUUCCGCGUGUAGCAGUGAAAUGCGUAGAUAUGCGGAGGAACACCGAUGGCGAAGGCAAUCCCCUGGGCCUGCACUGACGCUCAUGCACGAAAGCGUGGGGAGCAAACAGGAUUAGAUACCCCGGUAGUCC